AUUGAACGCUGGCGGCAUGCUUUACACAUGCAAGUCGAACGGCAGCGCGGGCUUCGGCCUGGCGGCGAGUGUCGAACGGGUGAGUAAUACAUCGGAACGUGCCCAGUAGUGGGGGAUAGCUCGGCGAAAGCCGGAUUAAUACCGCAUACGACCUGAGGGUGAAAGCGGGGGAGCUUCGGACCUCGCGCUAUUGGAGCGGCCGAUGUCAGAUUAGCUAGUUGGUGGGGUAAAGGCCUACCAAGGCGACGAUCUGUAGCUGGUCUGAGAGGACGACCAGCCACACUGGGACUGAGACACGGCCCAGACUCCUACGGGAGGCAGCAGUGGGGAAUUUUGGACAAAGGGCGAAAGCCUGAUCCAGCCAUGCCGCGUGUGUGAUGAAGGCCUUCGGGUUGUAAAGCACUUUUGGCGGGAACGAAAAGGACUGUGCCAAUACCACGGUUCGAUGACGGUACCCGCAGAAUAAGCACCGGCUAACUACGUG
rnacentral:rRNA from 1 species